rnacentral:tRNA from 1 species
GGGCGCAUAGCUCAGCUGGUUAGAGUGCUGCCCUCACAUGGCAGAGGUCAUAGGUUCAAAUCCUAUUGCGCCCA